GAUCCUGCUCAGGAUGAACGCUAGCUACAGGCUUAACACAUGCAAGUCGAGGGGCAGCGGGAUUGAAGCUUGCUUCAAUUGCCGGCGACCGGCGCACGGGUGAGUAACGCGUAUCCAACCUUCCGUACACUCAGGGAUAGCCUUUCGAAAGAAAGAUUAAUACCUGAUGGUAUCUUAAGCACACAUGUAAUUAAGAUUAAAGAUUUAUCGGUGUACGAUGGGGAUGCGUUCCAUUAGGGUAGUAGGG
rnacentral:rRNA from 1 species